rnacentral:rRNA from 1 species
AGUGAACGCUGGCGGUAGGCCUAACACAUGCAAGUCGAACGGCAGCACAGUAAGAGCUUGCUCUUACGGGUGGCGAGUGGCGGACGGGUGAGGAAUACAUCGGAAUCUACUUUUUCGUGGGGGAUAACGUAGGGAAACUUACGCUAAUACCGCAUACGACCUACGGGUGAAAGCAGGGGAUCUUCGGACCUUGCGCGAUUGAAUGAGCCGAUGUCGGAUUAGCUAGUUGGCGAGGUAAAGGCCCACCAAGGCAACGAUCCGUAGCUGGUCUGAGAGGAUGAUCGGCCACACUGGAACUGAGACACGGUCCAGACUCCUACGGGAGGCAGCAGUGGGGAAUAUUGCGCAAUGGGCGCAAGCCUGAUCGAGCAAUGCCGCGUGAGUGAAGAAGGCCUUCGGGUUGUAAAGCCCUUUUGUUGGGAAAGAAAAGCAGCAGGUGAAUACCCCGCUGUUCUGACGGUACCCAAAGAGUAAGCACCGGCUAACUUCGUG